UGGGUGCAGAAGCAUGUGAAAGGCACAGAUACUCAGCAAGAACUUAUGAAGCCAGGUGUGGUGGUAAUCCCAGCCGGGAGGGGAGGACAGGAAGAUGAAAAGUCCAAGGGGGACAACCAAGUACAGCAGCAAUAGCCUUUAAUAGGCGGAGUAAGAAGAUUGGAAAGAGCCCCACUUCUAAGACCUCUAAGACACCCUCAUUCUUCCAGCUGUUAUUUGGGGAUGCCUUCCACCAUCCUCAGUGUCAGUCAAAUAAGGGGUGUGUGCCUGCCAACUGCGGUCUCCCUAUGUCUGGAUCAGGCUGAUGCUAGGCAAGGGCUAAUAUUAAACUGUCAGGAGGUGUCCUCUGCAGAAGGCAGACCUGGAUCCCAGAACUCUGGAGAGAAGAUGAGGAAGGUUGGUGUCCAGAUGUUUGAAGGUCCCUGAAGUGGGACAAUGGGAUCUGAAUAUUAACGUAUCAGCCACCAGAGGGCAGUGUUGGAUUUAAUCAACGGCCCAGAUAAGUCCGCUUCCGUCCCUGAAAAGUAAGUGCACAGAGCUUGGCUAUACUUAGCCCAGGUUUCUUUUCUGAUAUAUAUGAAGCAUCUCAGAUUCUUGAGCCGCUUUGUGAAGGGACAACAUCGAGCAGCCUUGCAGCCAGUCUAGGUUCCCUGACUGGUGGGAAUUUGGGGUGAAAUACGAGAAUCGGCCACAAGAGGGAGAUAGGGAGCUAAGCUCUUGGUUCCAAGGAUGAUCUAGUUUCAAAAAGACUACAAAAGGCGAGACUGGUGACACAUGGUUGGAAACCCACAAUGCUCAAGAGACAGAGGCUGGAAGAUCGCCCAAAUUAGGGGCUUGCGACUCCUGACUCAAAAAUAGGGGCAAAAAUAGUGAGAACCUGACUGUGAAAUAAAAUAAAGUGCCGGGGCUUGAUUUUAUACAGAGACAGAUGGCUAAGAUAUCUCUGUUCUGUUCCCAGCAAUAUGCUCACAACGACUUGUAACUCCAGUUCCGGGGGAUUCCAUGCCCUCUUCUUGUCUCUAUAGGCACCUGCACUCACAUUUUAAAAAAUUAAUUAGCGGGAGCUGGAGAGA